UUAUCGAAAUGCCGGUAAUGCCGUUGCAUCAGGUGAAAUGAAGCCCUACCUUUUUCACGCAAAACUGCAAAAUUGUACACGAGAAACACGUCUACCGGGUCCAUGCAUGAGCGUGGAACACUGGCCUCAGCUAGGAAAUGCUACGAAGGUACUCUGGCAGUAUAAUCCUACAGGACUGUGUGGUAUCUUUUUCUAUUGGCUUCAAGCAUAUUACGAGAGCUCAACCCAGCUCCUCAGGCGCGGCGGUGUCGCCUUCAAUACCACGUGACACCGUGACGUCACGACAGAGGAGAAGUGGCUUUGGCUAAACUCUUGCAAGAUGGGCUGGGUGGGAAUCGAACCAGGGUCUCCGGAGUGUGAGACGGAGACGCUACCACUGAGCCACGAGUAUUUUUUUUUAUUACCGGCUUGGCAAAAGAAGGUACAAUGUGAGUAUUACAUGGUCAUAAAAACAACUAGUCAAUGCCGGAUCAGUGUGGUGUGAUAAGAACGAUGUAGGCUAGUCACUUUGUCCAAAGCACUUAGCCAAUCAGGAGGGUCACUCUGUGCACAGAAAAAUUCGCGUAUAUAUAACACACUUUCAAUGAAAUAUUCAUGUGCAGGGGCCUGAACAAUGCGCUCAUGUCUGAUAUCCAUACGCGUUCGCCACACACUGUGCAUGCACAAAAGCAUUAACAGAUCGACAGGCACUCCCUCUGGUUCCGCGCAUGGCAGGAAGCGUAUUCCGAAAGCACUUAAGGGCAACUCCUUUUUAAGGCUACGUUUUAGAAUAUCCCACAAAAACACUGCGUCAUGACAGUCCAAAAAGAUAUGCUCAAUCGUCUCCGGUUUAUUGCAUAUAAAGCAAUUCACAGACCAAGGUACAAAAAUGCCUUUGCUUUGCAGCCACGGUUUCACUGGGAGAGUGCCUGUAUGUAGUUGAAAAAAGAAAGAUUUAACAGAAGCUCUUACCGGCAUUCGUUUAACUCUCUUAAGAACAUCUCGUUCUGAACCUAAAACAAAUACUGUACGAUACAACGGUACAGGCAAGAAUACAUCAACAAGAUCUUUGUACAACUUCUUACUAGUAACAACGGCCAAAUAUUCACUGGAAAAUCUUGCUUUUAGUAUUCGGAAAGAUGCGACCACUUCACGCAAAAAAGCACUUAAAGGCAUUGGCCCCGUAUGCAUGGACGACACUACAUAAUCAGGCGAUGAAUCACGCAGUCUAGCUUGAAUCAUUGUUCUCAGAAAAGCAUCCUUUUGAUCACGCAAAAAAAGAAACCUGCUUACAAUCUGUUUGAGGAACAAAUGUGACAACCCCAGCCCCCCAUUCAACACUCUAUGGAACAGAUUACUACGACUUGUACGUUCCCAUGUUGAAGCCCAAAUGAACAUCGCAAAUACUCUAUGUAGCUUUUGCACAGACAUCCUCGUCAGACAUAACGCUUGCAUCACAUAAAAGAUUUUCGCGACUAAAAACAAAUUACACACUGUGGCUCUUGCAAACAUUGAAAAUUUAUGCCCUCCCCAUUUGCCGGUCUGGGUUUUCAUUCGCACUACUUCGUUGUCCCAAUAUUCUUUGCUAUCUCGAUAAUGUGCGAGGGGGACACCUAGGUAGGUGCCUGGAGUUACUGCCCAUUGCAUGUUACAAAAAGUCUCGGGCUUGUAUUGCCAAUUCCCAUGCCAAAAACCAAGACACUUGUUCCAGUUAAUAGCACUUCCACUUGCAGUACAAAAUUUUACAGCCUCUUGUACAACUGCUUUAACACUGUCAUGGUCCGUACAAAACACUGCUACAUCAUCAGCAUAUGCUAAAACUCGAACUUCAGUUUUAUGAAAAGUGUAACCCCGAAUGUUUGGGCU